AAUGGAAUGCCUGAUUAAAGGGUUACCUUGAUAGGGUAAAUAAAGUAAUUUAAAUUACUUCCAUUA
rnacentral:tRNA from 1 species